CAUUGUAGCAAAUAAGUGCAGCAAAUUUAAACUUUGCUUAUAGGUUGUUCCGACCUCGUUGGUG
rnacentral:tRNA from 1 species